rnacentral:rRNA from 1 species
CCUACGGGAGGCAGCAGUGAGGAAUAUUGGUCAAUGGCCGGAAGGCUGAACCAGCCAAGCCGCGUGAGGGAGGAAGGCGCAGAGCGUCGCAGACCUCUUUUGCCGGGGGACAAAAGGCCGGACUCGUCCGGUCCUGAGGGUACCCGGAGAAAAAGCAUCGGCUAACUCCGUGCCAGCAGCCGCGGUAAUACGGAGGAUGCGAGCGUUAUCCGGAUUUAUUGGGUUUAAAGGGAGCGUAGAUGGGUUGUUAAGUCAGUUGUGAAAGUUUGCGGCUCAACCGUAAAAUUGCAAUUGAUACUGGCAGUCUUGAGUACAGUUGAGGUAGGCGGAAUUCGUGGUGUAGCGGUGAAAUGCUUAGAUAUCACGAAGAACUCCGAUUGCGAAGGCAGCUUACUAAACUGCCACUGACAUUGAUGCUCGAAAGUGUGGGUAUCAAACAGGAUUAGAUACCCUAGUAGUC